rnacentral:rRNA from 1 species
GAAAGGAUUGGUAGAGGAGCAUUGCUGAAGCGACGAAGCAGUACCGAAAGGAGCUGUGGAGUUCAGGAAGAGAGAAUGCCGGAAUGAGUAGCGAGAGAAAGGUGAGAAUCCUUUCGGCCGAAUAUCCAAGGUUUCCAGGGUAAAGCUGAUCUGCCCUGGGUAAGUCGGGGCCUAAGGCGAGGCAGAAAUGCGUAGUCGAUGGACAGCAGGUUGAGAUUCCUGCACCCGUAAUGAACAGAACUGUAGUGACACGGAAGGUAAGACAGAGCCGGGAAUGAGAAAACCGGUGCAAGCACAAUAGAUGUGCGGGAGGAAAAACCCCCGUAUAAGUCGAAGGCGUGAUGCGGACCGAAAAAGAGUAGGGAAGCUGUUAAGCAAGCCGUCAAGAAAAGCUGCUAUUGUUUCAUUAUGGCCCGUACCGUAAACCGACACAGGUGGAUGGGGAGAGAAUCCUAAGGCCGGCGGAAGAAGUAUUGUUAAGGAACUCGGCAAAAUGACCCCGUAACUUCGGGAGAAGGGGUGCCUGCGAGAGCAGGCCGCAGAGAAGAGGCCCAAGCAACUGUUUAGCAAAAACACAGGUCUAUGCAAAACCGAAAGGUGAGGUAUAUGGGCUGACGCCUGCCCGGUGCUGGAAGGUUAAGGGGAGUGGUCAGGAAACGAAGCCACGAACUUAAGCCCCAGUAAACGGCGGCCGUAACUAUAACGGUCCUAAGGUAGCGAAAUUCCUUGUCGGGUAAGUUCCGACCCGCACGAAAGGCGUAAUGAUUUGGGCGCUGUCUCGACAAUACAUCCGGUGAAAUUGAAGUGCCAGUGAAGAUGCUGGCUACCUGCGCCAGGACGGAAAGACCCCAUGGAGCUUUACUCCAGCUUGAUACUGGGACCCGGUAUUGCAUGUACAGGAUAGGUGGGAGGCUAGGAAAUGUGGACGCCAGUCUGCAUGGAGCCGCUGUUGGGAUACCACCCUUGUGGUGCUGGGUUUCUAACCAGAGGCCGUGAACCGGUCUGGGGACAAUGUCAGGUGGGGAGUUUGACUGGGGCGGUCGCCUCCGAAAGGGUAUCGGAGGCGCCCAAAGGUUCCCUCAGAAUGGUUGGAAACCAUUCGAAGAGUGCAAAGGCAGAAGGGAGCUUGACUGCGACACCGACGGGUGGAGCAGGUACGAAAGUAGGGCUUAGUGAUCCGGUGGAAUUUAAGUGGGAAUGCCAUCGCUCAACGGAUAAAAGCUACCCUGGGGAUAACAGGCUGAUCACUCCCAAGAGUUCACAUCGACGGAGUGGUUUGGCACCUCGAUGUCGGCUCAUCGCAUCCUGGGGCUGAAGUCGUUCCCAAGGGUUGGGCUUUAAGCCCAUUAAAGCGGUACGCGAGCUG